GUUAUUUUGGCAGAUUAGUGCACUGAAUUUAGAAUUCAAUUAUGUAUUCAUAUACAGAUAAUA
rnacentral:tRNA from 1 species